CUUGCCUAUUUCAAAGCAUUAGUCUGUGUAGGACGAAGCAGUCCUAACCAAUAAUGAUUAUUGGAAACCUCAAACGAAGCUGUUAUUACCAGAAACGAAGUUACGGAAUGAUUAAAUGGAGCGAUUCAGAGCAAAAAAUGUAACGAGGGGUAACUUGCAGUUCAGCGUUAGUGAUGUCGCAGCAAAGAGCCAGUUUAUCGGCCUGAUAUUUGCCGCGCAUUCAUGUCCUUCCUGCAGAAAUUUUUUACCGUUCCUCGAAAAAUUUCGUAGUGAAAUCGCCCCCGGAAACAGCUUCAAUGUCAUAUUUGCGAGCUAUGACAAAACUCUGGCUGGAAUGCAGGUAGACGCGGUGGAAUCACCUUAGCAACACUUACGAAAUUCUAGACGUUGUGACUGUAUUGUUUGGGACGACUCGGCCUGUGUCCAGCGAGUGUCCAAGAUAUAAGCAAGCUAACGCGACCGCCUAUGACCGGUUGGGUAAAAAAACAGCCAUUAAACACGCACUUCUCUGAAAACAGCUCACAUUAUAUCGUACGAGCAUGUCCUGUGAGAAUAGGGCCAUCCAUCUAGAUAACAUCGGCCUUUGGAAAACACAUCGAGCUCGUAUUCUAAGUCCUCCCAAUUGAUUGACUCUGCGAACAGCUGUGUUCUAAUAUACGGUCUGCUAAAGUCGUACCCGGAGUGGUACGCCUUACCGUGGAACGAUCCAGAUAUUUUGGAGUUGGCUGAUGUAUACGAUAUUGACGGA